rnacentral:lncRNA from 1 species
AGGUGUUAGGAUUGAUUAAGAUGCGCAAAUGAAUAUUAUUCUAUUUUAAUAAUUAAACAUUCAAGUAUAUGCAAUUUAAGGAUGACCUUGGAUUUUUCCUUAAAAAAAAAAACGAGGAUGACCUCGGAUUUCUACUUAAAUAUUUCAGGCUAAUUUGUAUAUACAUUAAUUAUUCGGUACAAAUUUAUUUAGCUUUCCUUUUU